GAUAAACGCUGGCGGCGCACAUAAGACAUGCAAGUCGAACGAACUUAACCUUUAGUUUACUAAUGGAGCGGUUAGUGGCGGACUGGUGAGUAACACGUAAGCAACCUGCCUAUCAGAGGGGAACAACAGUUAGAAAUGACUGCUAAUACCGCAUAUGCCUUGAAUAUCACAUGAUAUAAAAGGGAAAGGAGCAAUCCGCUGAUAGAUGGGCUUGCGUCUGAUUAGAUAGUUGGUGGGGUAACGGCCUACCAAGGCGACGAUCAGUAGCCGGCCUGAGAGGGUGAACGGCCACAUUGGGACUGAGACACGGCCCAAACUCCUACGGGAGGCAGCAGGUGGGGAAUAUUGCACAAUGGGGGAAACCCUGAUGCAGCGACGCCGCGUGAGUGAAGAAGUAUUUCGGUAUGUAAAGCUCUAUCAGCAGGGAAGAAAAUGACGGUACCUGACUAAGAAGCCCCGGCUAACUACGUG
rnacentral:rRNA from 1 species